AAUAUUGGACAAUGGGCGCAAGCCUGAUCCAGCAAUACCGCGUGUGUGAAGAAGGCCYUAGGGUUGUAAAGCACUUUCAAUGGGGAGGAAAACCUGCCGGUCAAUACCCGGUAGCUUGACAUUACCUUUAGAAGAAGCACCGGCUAACUCCGUGC
rnacentral:rRNA from 1 species